rnacentral:lncRNA from 1 species
GUUUACCUGUGAAAAGGAAGGAACUUACACAAAGGAGCUAAGAAAACAAAGGUCAGGAGUCUGGACAGAGUUUCGCUAGGUGUUCUGUAAUCAAGGCUGUCGUCUGGGAGCAUUCUGAGCUCUUAGAGGCCACCUGCAGUUCCUUGAUAUGUGGCCUUUUCACAGACAGACCCACAACAUGACAGCUUCCUGUGUGGAACAGGUGGU